rnacentral:tRNA from 1 species
AGAUAUUGAACUUGUAAAAGUAUAUAUUUUGAAAAUAUAAUAAAGAAAUAAAACUUUCUAAUAUCUU